AUGCUUAGGGCUGUUUUGAAGAAUAAUAAGAAAAUGUGGGAGGAAUGCUUGCCUCAUAUUGAAUUUGCUUAUAAUCGUUCAUUGCAUUCUACUACUAAGAUGUGCCCUUUUGAAGUUGUGUAUGGUUUCCUACCUCGUGCACCUAUUGAUUUGUUGCCUCUUCCAUCUUCGGAGAAGGUUAAUUUUGAUGCUAAACAACGUGCUGAAUUGAUUUUAAAAAUGCAUGAGUUAACUAAGGAAAACAUUGAGCGUAUGAAUGCUAAAUAUAAACUUGCUGGAGAUAAGGGUAGAAAACAUGUUGUGUUUGCACCUGGAGAUCUUGUUUGGUUACAUUUGCGUAAGGAUAGAUUUCCUGAUUUGCGCAAAUCAAAGCUAAUGCCACGUGCUGAUGGUCCCUUUAAGGUGUUAGAGAAAAUAAAUGAUAAUGCAUAUAAACUUGAGCUGCCUGCAGAUUUUGGGGUUAGUCCCACUUUUAACAUUGCAGAUUUGAAGACUUAUUUGGGUGAGGAAGAUGAGUUUCCGUCGAGGACGACUUCAUUUCAAGAAGGGGAGGAUGAUGAGGACAUCAAUACCAUUGUUACACCCACAGCCCCUACUGCUACAUAUACGGGACCAAUUACUAGAGCUCGCGCACGCCAAUUAAAUUAUCAGGUACUUUCGUUUCUUGGUAAUGAUUCUAAUGUUCAUGAGAAUAUGAUGCUGCCUAAAUUGGAUACAUUUGUUUUGCUUACAAAUGAAGGGCCUAGCUUGGAGAAGGAUGAACAUUGGAGCAAGAACAAGCAUGGAGAUGAUGCCAUGCGCAAGGGGAACAAGAACGGAGUUACAAGUGAUGAUUUCAGGACUUUGAAGCCACCAUAA
rnacentral:rRNA from 1 species